CUGGGAACUGCAUCUGAUACUGGCAAGCUUGAGUCUCGUAGAGGGGGGUAGAAUUCCAGGUGUAGCGGUGAAAUGCGUAGAGAUCUGGAGGAAUACCGGUGGCGAAGGCGGCCCCCUGGACGAAGACUGACGCUCAGGUGCGAAAGCGUGGGGAGCAAACAGGAUUAGAUACCCUGGUAGUCCACGCCGUAAACGAUGUCGACUUGGAGGUUGUGGCUUCCGGAGCUAACGCGUUAAGUCGACCGCCUGGGGAGUACGGCCGCAAGGUUAAAACUCAAAUGAAUUGACGGGGGCCCGCACAAGCGGUGGAGCAUGUGGUUUAAUUCGAUGCAACGCGAAGAACCUUACCUGGUCUUGACAUCCAGGUGCUGCAUGGCUGUCGUCAGCUCGUGUUGUGAAAUGUUGGGUUAAGUCCCGCAACGAGCGCAACCCUUAUCCUUUGUUGCAACUCAAGGAGACUGCCAGUGAUAAACUGGAGGAAGUGGGGAUGACGUCAAGUCAUCAUGGCCCUU
rnacentral:rRNA from 1 species